CGUGCGUGGGUGCGACACCGUGCCACCAACCGGAUCCCUCUGCAGCCUUGAAACAGUCCUCGGUCACCAAUUCAUCUCAUGCCACUGCUACUGUCGACAGCCAAUUUGCAGUAUCCUUACAAAUUCUUCGGACGCUGAGAUUCAAGGUUGUUUGGGACCCACGGUGCUGACAUCCCAAGUCCCUACUCCUUCUAUGAGUCUAGCUACAAACGGAUCCGGACAUGGCGAAACAUCGAAUUUGACACCGACGGUAAAAUCAAUGCAACCAUCUGGUGCCAAGACCCCCUGGAACACCAUGUUUAAUAAUAUAGCCAUGAAACUUGGAGUCACUCUACUUCUGCAAGCAUACCUCCUGAUUUGAUUGCGCGUGACUUAGUCUCCUAAGAGAAUUUCUUGUGUACUGUACUAAAUAUCAGCUUACUAGACUUUAAUUAAAUA